UGACUGUAUUUAUAUGGGUCUAUUUUUGGCUCCCCAUUCUGUUCUAUUGAUCUAUUUGUUAUUUCAUUUGUCAACCCUCACUAUCU